CUGAUUGACGUGCUUGCACAGACUUGACGUUGGAUUACCAGCGAGUGGCGCACGGGUGAGUAACACGUAGGUAACCUGCCCCAGAUGGGGGGAUAACAUUUGGAAACAGAUGCUAAUACCGCAUAACAAUUUGAAUCGCAUGAUUCUUAUUUAAAAGAUGGCUUCGGCUAUCACUUUGGGAUGGACCUGCGGGGCAUUAGCUUGUUGGUAAGGUAACGGCCUACCAAGGCUGUGAUGCCUAUCCGAGUUGAGAGACUGAUCGGCCACAAUGGAACUGAUACACGGUCCAUACUCCUACGGGAGGCAGCAGUAGGGAAUCUUCCACAAUGGGCGCAAGCCUGAUGGAGCAACACCGCGUGAGUGAAUAAGGGUUUCGGCUCGUAAAGCUCUGUUGUUAGAGAAGAACGUGCGUGACAGCAACUGUUCACGCAGUGACGGUAUCUAACCAGAAAGUCACGGCUAACUACGUGCCAGCAGCCGCGGUAAUACGUAGGUGGCAAGCGUUAUCCGGAUUUAUUGGGCGUAAAGCGAGCGCAGGCGGUUGGAUAAGUCUGAUGUGAAAGCCUUUGGCUUAACCAAAGAAGUGCAUCGGAAACUGUCAGACUUGAGUGCAGAAGAGGACAGUGGAACUCCAUGGUU
rnacentral:rRNA from 1 species